rnacentral:rRNA from 1 species
UACGGAGGGUGCAAGCGUUAAUCGGAAUUACUGGGCGUAAAGCGCGCGUAGGCGGUCUUGUAAGUCGGAUGUGAAAUCCCCGGGCUCAACCUGGGAACUGCAUUCGAUACUGCUCGACUAGAGUAUGGAAGAGGGAAGGGGAAUUCCGGGUGUAGCGGUGAAAUGCGUAGAUAUCCGGAGGAACACCAGUGGCGAAGGCGCCUUCCUGGGCCAAUACUGACGCUGAGGCGCGAAAGCGUGGGGAGCAAACAGGAUUAGAAA